GGUCCUGACUAACUCAACCGGUAGAGCAUGGCAUUAAGAUUGCCAGGGGGGUUCAUUAGGGGUUCGAUUCCCACUGGGGACCA